rnacentral:rRNA from 1 species
CAUGAAGUCGGAACUGCUAGUAAUCGCAGGUCAGCAUACUGCGGUGAAUACGUUCCCGGGUCUUGUACACACCGCCCGUCACACCAUGGGAGUCGGGAAUGCCCGAAGCCGGUGACCCAACCUUAAGGAGGGAGCCGUCGAAGGCAGGCCUGGUAACUGGGGUGAAGUCGUAACAAGGUAAC